rnacentral:rRNA from 1 species
GAAAGAAGUUUAAAAAAGGUACGGCGUAAGCUGUCGCUAAAGGAUGGACCUGCGAUGCAUUAGCUAGUUGGUAAGGUAACGGCUUACCAAGGCGAUGAUGCAUAGCCGAGUUGAGAGACUGAUCGGCCACAUUGGGACUGAGACACGGCCCAAACUCCUACGGGAGGCAGCAGUAGGGAAUUUUUCUACAAUGGACGCAAGUCUGAUGGAGCAACGCCGCGUGAGUGAAGAAGGUUUUCGGUAUCGUAAAGCUCUGUUGUUGGUGAAGAAGGAUAGAGGUAGUAACUGGCCUUUAUUUGACGGUAAUCAACCAGAAAGUCACGGCUAACUACGUGCCAGCAGCCGCGGUAAAU